AUAAGUGAAGUUUGUAAAAUCCUGUAAAUAACAAUAUUAGCUUGACCUAUUUUGGACAGACAUGAUUCAAACAUAUACUGUAUACAUUAACUAUACAAAUAGAUGUAUUGAAUGCACAACAUAAUCAAGGGGUCACUCCACUGUACCAAGC